CAAAUUCUACUCGUGGACAUGUUACGGUUACGGUGUUUGCAAGCGCAAAGUUCAGCGUAAUGCGUUGCUAUCAAAUGGAACUACUGCCCACAGUUGCUACACUGAUACCACAGUCACUCUCCUCUCCAGUUUCGAAGAGUUUAGCAGUCAUCUGUACGGGGAACGAUGAGAAGUGACAGAAACAGUGGGAAGCCAUGGAGGUGCCAUACAGGCUACAAACAGCACUCAGGGGUGAAUAGGGAUGUCAGUUUUUCAGGUAAUACUUUUGUUAAACUUCUUCUAAAAAGAUGCUACAGUUGAACAUAAUAAUGUUAUAAAUGAUCACAUAUUUGUAAGAAAAGUUGUAAUAUUUCCGGCCAAAGCUGAACUUCUUUUUUUUUUUGUAUAUUUCAGACUUGUUAUUUAAUGGACUGACUUAAAUGUUUACAUAGUAAUUUACUCACUAAUAGUUCCCUAAUGAGGAUUUUACCUUUUUUUCCCCCAUGCUGUAAGUUAAUAAUUCAAAGGAGGCUGUGUUUCACCUGGACCUUGCCUUUCAGGGAAUCCAAGGUUUUAAUGUUUCUCAAUAGAUUUCCCUCAGGGAUACACAGUUCUUGUUUCCAUGGCAACCUCAUUUGUUCAGCACUGACCAAGUUUAGAUCGAGCUGUGUCCCCGGUCAUCUGGCCACCUUCAUUUAGUUCCAUAAGAACAGUACCUUAGC